CUGCUUCAAUUGUGAAACCGGAAUAACAGUCCUACUGUAACUUCCGGUGGCUUGAAAAGUCAGACGUACGCUGACGGUCGAAGAGGCCUUUUUAUACCUGGAAGACUCUGCAAUGAUCAAGCGCCCCCUAGUGAACAAUUGACGGCGAUGCAACUCCUCCCAGGAAGCAUGAUGGGAAGUAUUUAAAGUAGAUGUCAUCUGCUUGGAUCUCUGAAGCUGUGUGGAGGAACAUCCUCUUUAGCUGAACACUAAGUGUUUGACUUGAAGCAAGGAGGAUGAUCUCUACCUUCAAGAGACCAUCACUGACUGGACUGCUGCUGAUAAAAGCCAUUCAACAAACCCACACAUCAAGAAUCUACAGCAAGCCACCAAAAGAUAAGAUUGGACCAAUGCAAUCUGUCUUUGCCCUGUGCGUGUUUGCUGUGACUCUCCUUGCCCCAGCUGGAUGGAUCAUGCAUCACGUUCCAGAGUACCGACAGAGAACACCUCCACAUCCAUGACAGCUGAGAGAACUCUGCAUUUGGAAUGACCCCCAAGUUUGUGCAGCUUUUAAGACAAGAUGCCACUUUGGAACUAAAAGAUGACGGAGCGUUUGAUACAUAUUCUUUGCAAUACCUGGUCAAUAAUGUACUGUUUUAAAUAAAGAAAAAUGUAUUUUUAGUUUUUUUUUUUGCAGCUACAAAUACACAUCAAUAAAUCCCUUGUACAACACA